AUGCAAACAUAAAAGCAAUUACUAAAAAAGUAUAAAUCCCAGGAACUAUAUAAGGAUUGUUGAUUGCAUGCAUGAUGCAAUAAUCAAUCAUAAACUUCACACGUACAGUACAUGGAUCGUUGAAUGCUAAGAGUAGCGAGAGAGAGACAGCGAUGGGCUUGAUUUGACUAAUUAAGUAGAAUGGCUUCCUUUGCCACUAAAAGCGACGGCGUUGUUAAAUCCGCAAUACCUCAUGAAGAGCUUCCUAGCUUUGUUCAAGUCGAUGGGGAAGGCCCAGUUGCUUUUAAUGGCAAUGCAUACGCAACCAGCUGCAUGAUCUUCUCUGUAAUGCCGAAAUUGGGAGCAGCAUUCGCAGCUAGGGUCAGGGGGUUGACGAAAGAAGGCCUUCCCGAAAGCGGCUGGGCAUGCACUCAGAUCUUCAGGACAUUUUCGAGUAUGAGAGCUAACCAAACUGAAAAAAACAAGGUUGAGGAAAAGGAGAAAGACAGUUGAUGCUGAAGGCUUUGAACCCAUUUUUUUUCCAAUUAAGAAGCUUUGGAAAUUGGAAUUGCUUGUAGUAUAAGGUGUGAGUGGUAGGGUUGCA
rnacentral:lncRNA from 1 species